rfam:Danaus plexippus plexippus isolate F-2 unplaced genomic scaffold DPSCF300076, whole genome shotgun sequence.
UAAACGGUUUUUUUUAAAUCCAUUCAUAUAUAGUAUAAAUCAAAUU